rnacentral:rRNA from 1 species
UACGUAGGGGGGCGAGCGUUGUCCGGAUUCAUUGGGCGUAAAGAGCUCGUAGGCGGUUUGGAAAGUCGGAUGUGAAAUCUCCAGGCUCAACCUGGAGCGGCCAUUCGAUACUUCUAUGACUAGAGUCCAGUAGGGGAGUGUGGAAUUCCCGGUGUAGCGGUGAAAUGCGCAGAUAUCGGGGAGGAACACCGGCGGCGAAGGCGGCACUCUGGGCUGGUACUGACGCUGAGGAGCGAAAGCAUGGGGAGCAAACAGG